rnacentral:rRNA from 1 species
AGUAAAGUGGCGUACGGGUGAGUAACACGUGGAUAAUCUACCUCUUAGUGGGGAAUAACUUUGGGAAACCGAAGCUAAUACCGCAUAAGCCUGGAAAGGGAAAGCAGCAAUGCGCUGAGAGAGGAGUCCGCGGCCGAUUAGCUAGUUGGCAGGGUAAAAGCCUACCAAGGCAUUGAUCGGUAGCCGGCCUGAGAGGGCACACGGCCACACUGCACUGAAACACGGGCCAG